rnacentral:rRNA from 1 species
AUUGAACGCUGGCGGCAGGCUUAACACAUGCAAGUCGAGCGGAGCGAGGGUGCUUGCACCUUAGCUUAGCGGCGGACGGGUGAGUAAUGCUUAGGAAUCUGCCUAUUAGUGGGGGACAACAUUCCGAAAGGGAUGCUAAUACCGCAUACGCCCUACGGGGGAAAGCAGGGGAUCUUCGGACCUUGCGCUAAUAGAUGAGCCUAAGUCGGAUUAGCUAGUUGGUGGGGUAAAGGCCUACCAAGGCGACGAUCUGUAGCGGGUCUGAGAGGAUGAUCCGCCACACUGGGACUGAGACACGGCCCAGACUCCUACGGGAGGCAGCAGUGGGGAAUAUUGGACAAUGGGGGGAACCCUGAUCCAGCCAUGCCGCGUGUGUGAAGAAGGCCUUUUGGUUGUAAAGCACUUUAAGCGAGGAGGAGGCGCUCUAGGAUAAUACCCUAGAUGCGUGGACGUUACUCGCAGAAUAAGCACCGGCUAACUCUGUGCCAGCAGCCGCCGUAAAAC